AUUGAACGCUGGCGGCAGGCUUAACACAUGCAAGUCGAGCGAGCGGCGGACGGGUGAGUAAUGUCUGGGAAACUGCCUGAUGGAGGGGGAUAACUACUGGAAACGGUAGCUAAUACCGCAUACCAUCAGAUGUGCCCAGAUGGGAUUAGCUAGUAGGUGGGGUAAGGGGUCACCUAGGCGACGAUCCCUAGCUGGUCUGAGAGGAUGACCAGCCACACUGUGACUUAGACACGGUCCAGACUCCGACGGGAGGCAGCAGUGGGGAAUAUUGCACAAUGGGCGCAAGCCUGAUGCAGCCAAGCCGCGUGUGUGAAGGAGGCCUUCGGGUUGUAAAGCGCUUUCAGCGAGGAGGCGUUACUCACAGAAAGAGCACCGGCUAACUCCGUGACAGGCGCCGCGGUAAUUC
rnacentral:rRNA from 1 species